rnacentral:rRNA from 1 species
GACGAACGCUGGCGGCGUGCUUAACACAUGCAAGUCGAACGGUGAAGCGCCUUCCUUUUUGGUGGGUGUGGAUGAGUGGCGAACGGGUGAGUAACACGUGAGUAACCUGCCCCCUUCUUCUGGAUAACCGCAUGAAAGUGUGGCUAAUACGGGAUAUUCUGGGUCUGUCGCAUGAUGGGUCUGGGAAAGAUAUUGUUUCGGUGGGGGAUGGGCUCGCGGCCUAUCAGCUUGUUGGUGGGGUGAUGGCCUACCAAGGCGGUGACGGGUAGCCGGCCUGAGAGGGUGGACGGUCACACUGGGACUGAGACACGGCAGAGACUCCUACGGGAGGCAGCAGUGGGGAAUAUUGCACAAUGGGCGCAAGCCUGAUGCAGCGACGCCGCGUGAGGGAUGGAGGCCUUCGGGUUGUGAACCUCUUUCGCCAGUGAAGCAGGCCUGCCUCGUUUGUGGGUGGGUUGACGGUAGCUGGAUAAGAAGCGCCGGCUAACUACGUG